AAGAAAAGGAACAGAGAGAGGGAUGGAAAGAAAGAAAGGGAACAGAGAGGGGAGGGAAAGAAAAAGAAGAGGGGGAGGAGGAGAAAGAAAGAGACCACGGAAAAAAAUAGAGAAGGAAGAAAGAAAACGGAGUCGAAGAUAAAAGUAGAUGUGUAAGGGGAAGAGAGUUUUUGACAUUUGAGAGAGAAAGAAUCAGGGUUUUAGUCUUGCAGACUUUUUUUUGAGUGUUUAAGAAAUCCAAGCCUAGAGUUUUGAUUACUGUAAGUUUGAAGGUGUGAGCAUGAUUUCAUGGUUUUGGGUUUCACCUUUGAGAUUUCCGGAGCUGGGGGUAUUUAAAGAGGCUGAGAUUUUUAGCAGAGGUUGAGCUUUAUUUCGGUGAACUCUAUGGCUUUUGCUUCUGUUUAAGAUACGAGUUCACUCGAUUUGGCUUUCCAUUAGCUAGAAGGGGAAGUUACCAAUUAUAAAAUUUGGAAGGACUUGGUCAUAAUCCCAAGAAAGGUAAAAAUGUGACCUGUUGAGAAUUGGGGUCUCAUGCAUCAACAUCGAGGCAGCAAUGGUGGUGUUUGGAUCAAUGAAGAAGCGGAGAGGACAGGGAAAAAUCUGAUUGAAGAGUUGAUUAAAACCAAGCAACAGUUGGCUGAGUCUGAGGAUACCCCAUUUGAAGAUGUUGUAGUGCCUAUCCCUAUGCAAUUAGAUAUCUUGGCUAAGGAGCUUGGAACUAUGAAGGGUAAGACCAUUCGAGGUGUGGGCUAUGGUCUUAAAAAGGACAGAUUUUGUUCUUAAAUCCCUGCAUCCACGUCUAACCCAACAAAUGCUCAAUUUAUGAGGUACAUUAUUCUAUUGGAAGAACGACUUACUUCUCUUGAGGGUGAGAAACAACCUCAACCUCCUACACAUGAUGUGGAUGAAGAGGGUGCUGAGGAGGGUGAUGAGGAUGAGAAUGAGGAUAUGGAUGUGCUUUAGGUGUUGAUAUCCUCAUUAGUUUUUUGCAAGUUAUAUUUUGGAUGUGUACAAAUGAAGCCAUGAUAUUUCCACAUGCAUAGAUAUCCCUUAGUUUAGGGCUUUGGCAGGUUUUUGGGUCUUAGAUGUCCUUAUUAGCUUUUGGAAGGAUACAAUUUGGAUGUAAAAAUGAUGCCUUCAAAUUUCAAAUGCAUCCAGCACUUGAUAUGUAAAUUUUUCAAGUUACUAUCUUUUGUAAAGUACUAGUUGAUAAGCAUGUUAACAUAUAUUUUUGCUACUUAUUUACUUA